GUUUGUUGAUGGCUCUGCCCAAAAGUCACCACAGGGUGAAUCAUUGGUGGCUUACGCAGUCACUACCGCUGUAGAUACUUUAGAGGGUGCAAAACUGCCAUCACCUCUGUUAGCUCAGGCUGCAGAAUUGUUUGCACUGACUAGGGCGUGCAUUCUAACUAAGGAUAAAACUGUUACCGUUCAUAAGGAUAGCAGAUAUGCAAAUAGUGUACAAUUUUGGAACAUUGUGGCAGCAUCGUUGGUUCCUUACUUCAUCUGGAUGUUUCUGAUCUGCAAUCAGGUGCAGGGCCUGGGGAGGGUAAAAGCGGCUUUACCUGAAUCAAAGGGAGGACCACUCCACAAACUUCAACCAGGCGAUUGGGUUGUCAUCACGGACCUCCGCAGAAAGACCUGGCACCAACAGCGCUGGACUGGUCCAUUCCAGGUGCUCCUGAUGACCCAGACAGCUGUGAAAGUUGCAGAGAGAACUACUUGGGUUCAUGCUAGCCACUGCAGGAAGGUUCCCCACAACCCAGACGAAGAUGUACCAGCCAAUGUCCCGUUGUAGGCAACCCCAG
rnacentral:lncRNA from 1 species